UUCAAUGGCAACAAACCAAAGGAAGAGAGAAGUGAUAUAGAGAGAGAAUGCAGGGAGGGGUAGCCGAAGAAUUUGCCAAACCAAGGUGAGAGGAGAUUGUGAGCUUUGAGAAGGGGAAGAACAUGAAGAAGGCAAAUGGCGACCGAGAAGCCACGAUGGAGUGCGGCGGCUGAGAAGCUAUGGCGGGGUGCAUCUUUCGAGAAGCUAUGGUGGAGUGCGUCUUCUGCAACUUUGCUGCAUCUUCCUUAUUAUGAUCCACGCACUUACUUGCAGAACUUUCAUCGGGGCUCUGCGCUGGAUGAACUAGACAAUUUGUCUAGAUCUUUCUCUGCUCGCUUUGCUAAUCCUUCUAGAUUAAGUUGUUAUUACUUACUAUAACUCCUUCCAGAUUCGCAUUUUAUAGCACUACUGAGCAAUUGUUAAUUAAGUUGUAGAG